rnacentral:rRNA from 1 species
GAUGAACGCUGGCGGCGUGCCUAAUACAUGCAAGUCGAGCGAACGGACGAGAAGCUUGCUUCUCUGAUGUUAGCGGCGGACGGGUGAGUAACACGUGGAUAACCUACCUAUAAGACUGGGAUAACUUCGGGAAACCGGAGCUAAUACCGGAUAAUAUUUUGAACCGCAUGGUUCAAAAGUGAAAGACGGUCUUGCUGUCACUUAUAGAUGGAUCCGCGCUGCAUUAGCUAGUUGGUAAGGUAACGGCUUACCAAGGCAACGAUGCAUAGCCGACCUGAGAGGGUGAUCGGCCACACUGGAACUGAGACACGGUCCAGACUCCUACGGGAGGCAGCAGUAGGGAAUCUUCCGCAGUGGGCGAAAGCCUGACGGAGCAACGCCGCGUGAGUGAUGAAGGUCUUCGGAUCGUAAAACUCUGUUAUUAGGGAAGAACAUAUGUGUAAGUAACUGUGCACAUCUUGACGGUACCUAAUCAGGAAGCCACGGCUAACUACGU